rnacentral:rRNA from 1 species
UACAGAGGGUGCAAGCGUUGUCCGGAAUCACUGGGCGUAAAGGGCGCGUAGGCGGCCUGAUAAGUCGGGGGUGAAAUUCUGCGGCUUAACCGCAGGACGGCCUUCGAGACUGUCGGGCUUGAGCACGGUAGAGGCAGGUGGAAUUCCUGGUGUAGCGGUGAAAUGCGCAGAUAUCAGGAGGAACACCGGUGGCGAAGGCGGAUCUCUGGGCCAUUACUGACGCUGAGGAGCGAAAGCGUGGGGAGCGAACAGG